rnacentral:rRNA from 1 species
UCCGUAGGUGAACCUGCGGAAGGAUCAUUAAUGAAAUUCAAGGAUGCUCUUUUUAGAGGUCCGACCAAUAUCAUUUUCCAACACUGUGAACUCACUACUCUUUUUACACCCAUUUUUAAAACACAAAAGUCUAUAAGAAUGUAAAAGUCUCUUAAUUGAGCAUAAAGUUAUAAUAAAACUUUCGGGAACGGAUCUCUUGGGUCCCGCAUCGAUGAAGAACGCAGCGAAAUGCGAUACGUAAUGUGAAUUGCAGAAUUCAGUGAAUCAUCGAAUCUUUGAACGCACCUUGCACUCUUUGGUAUUCCGAAGAGUAUGUCUGUUUGAGUGUCAUGAAUCUCUCAACCCCCCUGUUUUGUAAUGAGACAGGGGUUUGGGGUUGGAUUAUGGGUGCUUGCUGGUCAGAGAACCUUAACUAGUUUUCGAGUUACCGGGUCGGGUGAAAUACACGAGCAACCCAGUUUGAAUAUUAACGGGUUGACUCGGGGUGAUAAUUAUUUCGCUGAGGACGUUUCAUAUCAAGAUAGUGGUGCUUCUAAUGCAGAGUGUUUAACAGCACUUCUACCUUAUACUUUAGACCUCAAAUCAGUCAGGACUACCCGCUGAACUUAAGCAUAUCAAUAAGCGGAGGAAAAG